GCAUCCAAGACUCUGCUCAUAUUUGUUCACCCCUUUGGACUAUUGUCUGUGGACGUGCAAGUCAAAAAAGAAGGACAAAAGAGAGAUUAUUGGUCCGCAAGCUGCCCAUGCCAAGCCCCAAGAAGCUCAGCAGUCACCAUAAUAACAACAGGUCUUCUUGAACUAUAUGCCUCACCAUGAAAUGUUUGCAGGUUUACCAGAUAGAGGGGUGUGAGCCUUGUCAGGGAAGCAGCAGUCUACAGUUUUGUAUUGUACCGAGUAAGAAUGCUAAAAUUUUACAUACAAGCUUACUUGCAUUUAAUGGCGUUUUAUGACAACCGGAGAAGUAACAUGUUGAGUGCCAACUUGUUUCUUUUCAAGUCGUUAUAGCCAUGACGACCAAAGCAAAAACAAUGUAGCGAACUCCUACUUGCUAAUGCACAAAAUCUGUCAUCUGCUCUUUGCAAAUCAGCUUGACAGGCAUUACAACCAAGUAACAAGCUCCCUCACAAAAUUAAUUUGUUACAUGAAAACGCACAUAAUUUCGAAACCUUCAAAAACACUCAAUGCAGUUUUGAGAAAAUUAUAUCAUGUUGACUGAAACUCUGGCAGCCACUGUUCAUUUUAUUAUUUCAUUUUUUUUUAAAUACCCUCACGGCCAUAUGGCAUGAAAGAGGGGACUGGUUAAAAAGUAGUAGAUUAAAGCAAAUAAACAAGUGCAGUGAGUUGUAGUAAUAAUUAUCCUUAGUAUACAAUGUUAGCUAAUGUUUUGCAACAAGUUUAUCAGUGAUGGCUACGAUACUUGAGGGAAAGCGGUUAGAUUCUUGAGAUGUACAGGAAAUGAAAGAUUGAGAGAAAGAGUUCGUGUAACAUGAAUAAAUUCCUACCUUACUGUGAUGAUCGACACAAUUUGAAAUGUACUGAGGCCGCAGUAUGAAGUCGUCAUGAAGUGCUGUGUGAUGGAAACUCUGAAUAGCGAAAGAUGGGCGACUUUACGGCAGUUAGCUAGUGGAAUAAGUGCGACGUUAUUUCUCAUUGAGGUCAUACUCGCGGUACAGUCAUAAUGAGAAAGAAUGAAACGAGUAGAGUUAUAUUGUACUAAUUCAAAUGAUGUAAUAAGACUUGCGCUAUUGGGAUCCCAUAUUGCAGAUGCAUAUUCAAGUUUCGAGUGUAUUAGAGUCUUGUAAAAUUAUAGUUUAAGUAGAUGGUGCUUUGUAAAAGUUGUACCAUGAGUACCCGAGCAUGUGACUAGCAUUUUUAAUGAUGUACUUUAUAUUAAUGGUCUAAUUUAAGUUGUUUGUAAUGUGUACACAAAGAUAUCUAUAUGACAUGUUGAAAUCUAAGCGACUGUUCUUAAGAUGGUAAGUGCUAGGAUUAGAAUCAGAUCUGGGUACGCGCAUUAUUUUAUGUUUGUUAACUACAACAGGCUCAUGUACAGUUUGCAUGAAAUCAAUAACUAGGCUAGCCCUGCAUCGUAGGAGAUAGCUAGAAAAGGCAAAUGCACGCAACCAGCCUACUCCACACUUCUCAAACAUGACAAACCAAUAAAAACGAUUUUUAUUUCUCUUCAAGCAGCAGAUGACAAAGCUGCACAAUCUGUUCGAAAAACUUUUUGAAAUAUACUGUGAAUAAGUUUUGCUUAACAUUCAGCCACUCAAGAGUGGACGAGCAAGGGAAAGCUCAGCAUAGACUGUCUUUGUCACAGCCCUCACAAAUAUGUUUGCUUGUUGAAACGUUGGCUCCAGGCUGAGGCUUCCCUUGCUCACCUUUGUUAUUCAAUUGAAAUGUUCAUCUCCUUGCAACCUCUUUGACUUGUUUGAAUACACAAACCGAGAUGUUUUUAAAACAUGAAACAUUAAAUUACAUUUUCCAGCGA